rnacentral:lncRNA from 1 species
UAGAGAUCAGCUCAGACCUGAACUUAUCUUCUCCAUCAGAAACUAUCGUUUUAACCAGAGCUUCACCAUUCAGCUUUCCACCGUUCAGCUUUCCACCAUUCAGCUUUCCAGAUGAGAGAUUUGAAGUGAUAAUCUUCUCUGGUUCAGGGUAAGAAAUGGCGAUAAGCGACUCACGAGUCACUUCUUCAGGAGCCCCGUUUCCAAGUCUGGCUUUAUCCAUAAAAUGUCUGAUCUGCUUGGUCUGCAUCCAUCCAAACAUAUAAUGUUAACUGGAAUUAAGAUAAAAAUGGCUGACAAGGAAAAGAGAUUAUAAAUAAGAAUACAGCUUCAAUAAAAGACAGUGCACGAAAGUUCCAAAUAUCUCAAUUAGUAAUGUCACAAAGUUGUUCAUUUUACGAUGGAAAUGCAUCCCCUUUCACCAGCCAAAAUCAGGGGAAAGAUCAACAAACUAUGGGAGAGCUAAUGGCCAUGAUGAUUCAAGUACUUGUACUUUAUGAUCUUCUUGGGAUAUACACCACUUCAGUAAAUCUGGGCUUCAAUAAAUCAAAGCCAAUAUACAGCCACAAAGUUACAUGUUAUCGCAAAACAACAAAUUAUCAACUAUUACAGCCAUAUAAGAAAAUAGUAUUGCACAAAAGUUUCAAACAGAAGAAUUCAGAAAUCCAUCCUCAAAACCAAGAAUUACUGCUGAGCUCCAUAUUAUUCAAACAGCAAAGGAUCCAACUGGCAACUACAAAAACAACAGGACAUCAUAUAGAAUCGCAUAAACAAACAGCAAUAGAAUACAAUGGAAAUCGACCUUGAAAUAUUUCUUUUAUAACUACAGUAACUCCUGUAUUAGGCUCAAGACAUCAUCGUAAGUUCGGUUUGUUUAUGUUUGCUAAAGGUGUUUUCUCAAUUGUUUCUGGGGUUGCUCUCUAAUAAUGUAACUACUCUGAAUAAAGAGAAACUAAUAGCUAGAAGCAAUGGUUCAGUCCUUACACAAAUUAAAUAUAUUGUAUUGCCGUGAAAACAGAUAAUAGUAAACCACAAGAAGCUAGUGAGAACCAAGCACAAAUUCCCCCCAAAAGCUAGAGACAAUCAAACAUAGAGUCCCACCAAAUUGUACUACAAGUAAACCAACAUAUCAGAUAACACCACAAACCAACCAUUCCUACCAGCAGAAAUAUGUGAUUUGAUGUUUUCCGGCUUCAUUCAGUCGCAUCAACCAAAAGAAAGGGCAUCCUACUAGGAAUUGAAACCAACUGCCAGCUAGAAUACACCCCAUGAUUGAGGCCCUACCACAUGGUUUAAGCUAUUAAAGCUCAAACUACAAGAUAUAUGAACGAAAACAAAAUCAAGGAAAAGUGAUUGUACUGAGAAGACAGAGAUAACUUGUUACAUAUAACAUAGAACAAGAAGUAAAAAUGUAAAAUUCUUGGUACAACCAGCAACUACAAGAGGCGGAAACUAUGCUUAGCACCAUGUACAAAGAGGGCAAAACCCAUCUCUCUCUACAAAUAAUUUUGUAUGUGUUUCAAGCUACAUAAGUAUAUCUCCUUUCCAUAAUCCAAUUAACCUCAAAUCAUCAAUUCAAAGAAAACAAUUUCUAGAUUUGACCUUCAAGCAUAACCAUAAAAAUUGAAGAAAAAGACUUCAAAUUUUAACAAUAUGGAAAAUUAGCCACCAACCCAUCAAAGUGAUGAGAAAAAUAUGCAAAACCCAUGUCUUGGUUUCGAGAAUGAUCAAGAAACAGAUUCAGUUCAAGGAAGAAUCAGAGAAAAAGCAAACAGGAAUUCAAACUAAACAAAUUUUGAAUAUGGACAUCGAUUCAGAGAAAAAGAGAAAGAGAAGCCCGAAGAAAACACUUGAGAGAGAGAGAGAGAGAGAGAGGACUUACCGAAAAGUCGGAGGCGCUUGAGUAAGAAAGGCGUUUGGUGAAUGGAGGUGAGAAAGUUUGACCUUGCGUAUGUAUAUGUCUCUACACUCUUUCUUUACUGAUUUUACCUAAAAGAAGAUGAGAAGGAGACGUUGCAAGUUGGCUUUAGAGAAAGAGAGAGAAAUGCCGCCUCUUUUUCUCCGUCUCCAAUUCGAUCUCUGCUUUGAUUUUGAUUUGAUUGGUUACCGAAAAAGAAAAAAAAAUUGGUUUUUUAUAGAGUCGCUCGUAGAACGUUCUCGAGGCGUUCAAAACGAAAAGAAGUUGGUCAAAGAAAAAAAAAACCCCCAAAAGAAGUUUUUUUUCGUUUAAACUAAAAUAUGUUUUUACCUUGUUAUAACUGAAAAUGAAAAUGAGUCUUUCGGUUUCAGCACACGUUUUAUGUGUGCUUUGAUUGCAAAACAAAAUUAUAAAUUAUAAAUUCCAAAUUUUAAUUUAUUAUUUAUUAUUUUUUUGCUUGAAUAACGAAGCAUAACUAAAAAGAGGAUUUUAUUUCUGAACAUGUCAAAUUUCAGUCUAAAAAAUUACCAACCAAAUUCUAUUCAUGUCCUAGAUGAACUAAUGGUGUGUUUACUAUCUAUUUUAAUUUAACACCGAUGAUAUUUUAGUAAUCAAUAUCACUCCUACUCGAAUUACAUAUAGUUUAAUAAACAACUUCAAUAAGAAUAUGGAUCUAACUCUCCUCAAUCCAUAUAAUUUACUAAACAACUUCAAUAGAAAUCUGGAAUUUAAUUCUUCUCAAUCCAAUUCAUCAUGUUUAAUUCAUUCUAAUCCAAUUACAAUUAGUAAACAUGCCAUAAGUUAUUGACUACCGUAUUAGAUUCUAGAUAAAUACAACAUAGAGUGAAAAUGAAUAAUCUCGUAUGAAAAACAUCAUCUUUUAAGCAAUAUUAUUUUUCUCUCAAUCAUUUCAAUGUGUAGCUUAGAAACAAUAUAAUAUGGCUUCUGGAUCGUUAAUUUCUUCCUCUCUUUUUUUCUUUCCUUUCUUUUUAUAUUUUUUAAUUAUUAUUUUGGAUUCAGUUUUAAUUAAUUAAAACAUCCCUGUUGAAUUUUGUCUUUUUGUCUCAAGUAGCUAGAUGCUUCUUCGGUUGUGAUAAGGUAUCUUAUUAAUUUAAUUAUAUGGAGACCUCAAAGAGCAAUGUUACGUAGCUAGCUCCAGCUGGAGACCUGAAAGAGCAAUAUUACCUAGCCAGCUCCAGCACAAUUAGUUCAAUAAUAUUAAUUCAAAAAAAUCACUAGUUACAAAGUAUUAAUACAAACUAGUCACAAAGGGCUAUAAUAAUAAUAAAACGAUUUAAUAUUAAAAUUAAGAUAAUUUGGUGCGUCUCCCCUAACAAUCAUGCAAGAUCAAAGAAACUCUGACAUUGGCAUCCCAACUAAGAUUGCAAACUUAAAACAAUCAAAAGGAGAUAUAGCUUGAAAAACCAAGGCAUAACAAUAUAAAUAAAACUCUCACAAAAGAGAUGUGGAAAACUCUCAUAAAGGGAGAGGUGUAUUGUGAAUUUUAGACAACCUGAGAAAUGGAGAUUAUAAAGAUUAGUCUAAACACAAAUUUUACUAGCAAGUGUACAAGGUCAAUUGUAAUAUAGUAUGGCAAAUAUGAGGUCAUUCCCACGAGGAUUGAGUUCAACUUCCAAUUAGUCUAACCUAAUUUACUUCACAAAAUACUUUAACUACUGUAAUUAUAUAAACAAGAAAUUAAACACGUAGCAUACUCACGUAAACACAGAAGGGGUUUUUGAAAGAAUGAUUUAAUUAUCAACGAAAUUAAAAGAUAAAACAAGUUGAAAGUCGCGAAACACAAGGAUGAGAAAUUCAAAUUGAUAAAAGCAUUAGGACAAUGAAUUCACCACUAAUAAUCUGAUCUAGCCUCUUAUUCACCUACCUAUUAAUUAACCAUUUGAUGUCGUCGCUUAGUUUUCAUUUUUCAUGAAUUACCUAUGGUAUUUAAGCUAACUCGUAUAUUCCUACAUGCAAUUCGUCUAUGAUAUUUAAGUCAAAUAUCAAUACAUAGAAACUCAAUAAGAUCAAUGAAAACCUCCAACAAGUAUGUAAACCCUAGGAGUAUGGUAUUUACCCUAGACGAAUUACAAAUCCUAAUCACAAGAAGCAAGCCCCAAAUUAAGUAUGGUAUUUACUCUAAUUUGCAUCCGAUUAACUCAAGAUAAUCAACCAAGUUAUUAAGCACAGUGAUUAAGAAUCCAACAUCAAACGGCAAUCAAUAGAUAGGUAAAAUAAGAAAACUAGAUUAUCAUACUAGAGCUACAUCAUGCCCUAGCAAAAGAAAAUUAGUUACACAUAAUCAUAGAAUUCGAUAUAAACAAAAACAUAAGGAAGAAACAAUAAAACUUAGCCAAUUGCGGUACUCUUCCGGCGUCUCCAAUUUCUCCUAGUCUUUGCGUCCUCUCAAAGGAGUUGUUUUUCUCAUGCUUAAAUAAAACACCACAUGUCUAUUCCUACUCUAGCUACAGCCCAAAAAAUAAAGAAAAACCUAAUUAAAACAUAAAUCCAAAAUGGGUAAGUAAUUGACUCUUCUUCCUACUUUGACUGGGAUAACACGUUAGUUACUUUGCAUGUACGUUUGGAAUCAUUCCUCCUUCAAGAAAAUUUAGAAAAAAUAUGUAAAUUGUAGGUCUUUGUCUUCUCUUUCCAGCCAUAUAUUGCAUGCCUUGCGGGAAAAUCAGAAAAGUCUUCAAAUAAGAUUCUUCCUGACGAGAUUGCACCUUAUCCUGACUUAACUUCAAAGACUGCUAUCAUUGAUUGCUCCGAAAAUUCUAGAAAAAUUCCACAAUCAUCUUCAAGAUCUUAGCUUUCAUCUCCAACAAGUCUCACUAGCAGACUCGGAAAUUAUUUCAUGGAGGCGUAGUUUUGGCUAGGAUGACUAAAGAGUUUAGAAGCUCAACGGACUAAAUUAUAAUGUUUCAAUGGUAAAAGCCCACAACCAAUGGCGGAAACAUAUGUAUGGCAGGUUAACUAUGUAAUCAAAUUUGAAGAAAAAAAAAACUAUGUAAUCUAAUUUAUUUAUAAUUAAAAAAAAACUAUAUAAUCUAAAAUGAAAAAAAGAACUUUGAUUAAGGGGGAGUUUAUUUCAUCUUUCCCAGCGUUUGAAGAAAAAAAGGGAGUUUAUUUCAUCAUAAAAAUAUAGCAGGAGUAAUUUCAUUUAUUAUUUAUUUAAUAGUAUAUCGAAAGUUCAAAGGUUUUUAAAAGAACCAUGCAUUCAUUUUCAAUAGAUGCCUUUUUGGAAGACCCAAUUUCAAAGCUUUAAUUUAUUAUUUAUUUGAUGAUAAUUUUGAAGUUCAAACGGUAUUUGAAAGACCCGUGCCUUCUUUCCCAUUCCUCCUCUUUACAUCACUUCAGACCCAAUUUCAGGGCCUCAAUUGCUCUCUCCCUCCAUCUCUUUUUCUCUUCAUUGCUCUCUCUCCUUCCAUCUCUCUUCAAAAGCCUACACUCGCUCUUAAGUGGAUCCACCACUGUGCGCAGCACAACAAGCCUUGGUUUUGGUUGAGGCAAUUCAUUGAACAGGUUGAGUGCACCACCCGACCUCACCAGAGGGGCAAGAUGCAACUCCUACAAAGGCUAUUCCGGCGAAGGGAGGUGCAGCUGCACCUCCUUGUGCCUUAAUAGGUCCGCAAAUGACUGUUCUUGUAUUAAAACUCCACCAAAAAUUUGUAUUUCCGUUGAAAACCUAUUACUUGUUCCAGAAAGCUAAAAAUUGAGAAAAUAAAGUAAUAGGUCCUUUUUAAAUCAAAUUCUCCUACAAAAACUAAGUAUAAAGAGUACAUAAAUGUGUAAAUUUAUAGACUUAUCAAGGUAAAAACUACACAUAAAACACAAAAGUGUAUACAACUUAUUCCAAACAUAUAAAGAAGCUACAAAAAGGAUGGUGGUGAAGAUCCGACACCGAGAUGUAGCCGCCUAUGAUGGGUGCAGUAAAAUCAUAAGAAAACGAAGACAUAUAGGGAAAACCUUAUGUCUUUGAAAAUGGAGGAAGAGAGGAGGGGAAAGAAAAUGAAGAAUAAUGACUUCCUCCUCCCUCAAUGAAGAAUAAUGACUUCCUCCUUCCUCAAAGUAAAAAUGGCGCUAAGAGGGUUUUUUGGGAAAAAGAGGGCUACGAAUUUUUCAGAAUGGUCCUAACUUGAGCUUGAGUUUGGCGUAUUUAAUUCAUUAUUAAAUAAUUUCUAAUGUAAAUGAAACAUGUGGUUAUCGUAAUUAACAGAAAAUUAAUAUGUGGAACAUGCGUAUAAAAAUACAAUAAUUUUAUGAACAUAACAUGUGCAUAUAUAAUUCAAAUAAAAAAUAUCAAUCUGACAAAAGACUAUCUGGCAGAAAAUCCUAAAAGUGACUAAGGGUCAUAAAGUAUUUUUUUUAUAGAAAAUACUUUAAUUUUUAAUAAGAAUGUUUAAGAAUAGAUAAUAAAAAAUAGUUUCUCAGCAAAAGUGCUUCCUACAUAAGUAGUUCUAAACAGCCCCAAGUAUGUUGGGUGCCAUGUCCUGCAACUUGGGUCAGUGCAAUGUGGCCUGUAAAUAUUAAUUUGGACAGCUGAAAAAAAAAGAAGAAAAAAGAUCAUAGAGUAGUAAAAGGUCAACUCUACUCAUUCCCUCGAGCCAUAUUUUAGACAUUUACAUGUUUGGUAUGCUUCACUGUGGCUCACUGGAUUGUACUAUGUUAAAUAACAUUUGAAACCCAUGCUUGGCAAGGGAGGAGAUUAACUUAAAUGAGACUCUAUAGUCCAACAGUUAAAAAAUAAGGGGACUCGUAUGUCUAAUAUAGAGAGCCCAAAAUUGAGUUCACAAAAUAGCGAGCAUCUUAUUUUGAACAAGCGAGUCCAAUGGAUUUCCUUAUGGCGAGCUCCCCCCUCCCCCCCAAUUUCUUCUUUGGGUGAAGAACCCCACAACACCUCUGCAACAACCGUAGCUGCCUCUGCAUCAGAGAGAUGCUUCUCUCACUCUCUUCAGUAUUUCCAAUUUAAAAGCUCUUUUCUCACUCUGCUCUAAUCCUUCAGGGACUUGAGAACGGAACAAAAGAUGAGGAGAAUCAACCGUCUUUCGAAAAGGGAUGCGGCUGUGUUGAAGAGACAAUUAUUUCACUUGCAAACAUAUUUGGGUGAAAUUAAAUAUAUGACGGGGUUACCCGAUAUUGUAAUAAUCGUUGAUCAGCAAGAAGAAUAUACUGCUUUUCGAGAAUGUAUCACUUUGGGAAUUCCAACGAUUUGUUUAAUCGAUAACAAUUGUGACCUCGAUCUAGCAGAUUUUUCGAUUCCAGCGAAUGAUGACGCUAUAAUCAAUUCGAUCCCCCGAUUGAAUUGGAGGCAAAUGCCUACGAAAAGAUCGCUUGGAUUUAAGAAGGAUUCGCUUGGAUUUAUCCAUGGUUUGUUUAUUCCUUAUCCUGAAAAUCCCAAUCCUAUUUCUUAAUUCUAAAUCAUGUUUGAUCCGAUCGAAAUAUGAUUGGGUUUGUUUAUAUUUAAAUAAAUAUAUGUUAUAUAUAAUAUGUAAUUUUUCAUCUUCCUUGGAAGACUACCGCUUGCUUGACGUAAAACAAAUAGUGGAUUUGUUUCUGUUUUUUGUUGAAUCUUUUUCAUGGCUCGAUAGAUAAUUUGAUAAGCCAAUGAUUUUUUUUAGUGUUUCAGAAUACGGUUAACCAACAUGUUAACUAAUCGAUUACCAUAAAUUGGAUCAGAUUUUUACAGUUUUUUCUUCUGCAGUACCUCGACGUGACAUGAGCGUGAAAGGGUUCAAGAAUCAGUUUUCUUUUUAUAAGGGCUAAAAUCAUUUAUUUUGGCUUUUUUACCCCAUAUUGUAGGGUGGAUCUCGAAAGAUAUGAAAGAUCUCCCUCCAAGCCGUACAUACGACUUUCAUCGAAUACGGCUUUCCACAGAAUUCUAUAUGUAUCUAUGAGAUCGAGUAUGGAAUUCUGUUUACUCACUUUAAAUUGAGUAUCUGUUUCCCUCCUUUUCCUGCUAGGAUUGGAAAUCCUGUAUUUUACAUAUCCAUACGAUUGAGUCCUUGGGUUUCCAAAAUAGUGUAAAAAGAAGUGCUUCGAAUCAUUGCUAUUUGACUCGGACCUGUUCUAAAAAAGUCGAGGCAUUUCGAAUUGUUUGUUGACACGGAUGAAGAGUUAGAACCAAUGCUUUAUUUCUGUCCUAGUUGAUCCUGAUUCAACAUUAGAAGUAUAUUGAUUUUUCCCCAAUAACCGAAUACUUUUGUCUGUAAAUACUGCAUAUUUGAUUCAAUCCAUAAAUCUAUUUUCUUCCCUUUGAGUUCUAGUCUCAAUAAGAAUGCUAGUUCUACGAUGUUGGGUCAGAAUUACUUUUUGACUCUGCGCCAUUGAUUCCACUAUUAUUUAUUAGUGAACAAUAAUUGAAUAAUUCUUUCAUAGAGAUAGAUGACAUAAUUCACAUGGGUAUAGUAAAUCUUGCUUGGGCUGCUUUAAUGGUAGUCUUUACGUUUUCCCUUUCACUAAUAGUAUGGGGAAGAAGUGGACUCUAGAAGUACCACUAAUUGAGUUUAGGAACUAAAUUGUAUCAAUUUUUUUUUAUAGAUCGUUCGUGGUCAUGGGUUGAGAACGGAAAUUGAACUCUAUUAGAUCUAAUCUCCUGUUGUUCCUCAGUAGCUCAGUGGUAGAGCGGUCGGCUGUUAACUGACUGGUCGUAGGUUCUAAUCCUACUUGGGGGAGAUUUUAAUCAUUCUGAAUUAUCAUGCAAAAUGGAUAAAAUUUUGGCUGCUACUUAGUAUAUCGGCAAUAGGUCUGAAAAAGUAUCUAAAAAUAUAAAAUUUAGAUAUUUGUAUCCCGUCAAAGUAAGGAAUCAUGGCAUAUAUGUUUGGAAUAUAUUCCAUUUUGAGAGAGUUGAAAAAGCAUUAUCUCGUUGAAAGGUUCUAUACAUCUACCCUUUCUCAAGGCAUUUCUUUAGAUAAAGACCCCUUUUUUCCUCUUUUUGGAUCCAAAAAGGUUAUCCAAAGCUAUAUACAAAUCAUACCAUCUUUUUUUAAUCGCACGUCGUAAACAGAUACAAUAAGAAUUCUUACUCAGAUUAUGAAUCCGAAUAUUUUAUAUUGGAAUUGAAUAAACAAAACACUAUAAAGAGAAUAUUCAUUGGAGGAAAGUAUAAAUAAAUAGGCCAAACCAAAACUUUAGGAAAGAGAUCUAAGCAGCCCGCACCGAAACAGUGUUUUACCCCUAGAUGUCCAGUCAACUGUUGUACCUCAACGCAUUUCGGGGAGAACUAGCUAGCUCUGGGUUAGAGUGGCAUUUCACCCCUAACCACAACUCGUCCGCUGAUUCUUCAAUAUCAGUCGGUUCGGACCUCCACUUAGUUUCACCCAAGCUUCAUCCUGGUCAUGGAUAGAUCACCCAGGUUCGGGUCCAUAAGCAAUGACAAUUGUCCUAUGAAGACUCGCUUUCGCUACAGCUCCGGUGGGUUCCCUUAACCAAGCCACUGCCUAUGUGUCACCGGCUCAUUCUUCAACAGGCACGCGGUCUGAGGAUUUAAAGGAUUGGAAUAGAGAAAUGCAUAUUUAAUGUACCUAUAAUGGCGUUCAAUUAUCAGAAAAAGAAUUUCCAAAAAACUGGUUAACAGACGGUACUCAAAUCAAGAUCCUAUUUCCUAACCUUGGCACAGAUCUAAACUACAAGCCCCAACAACCAUCAACUAUAACCCCAAAAGAACCAGAUUUCGUAAACAACAUAGAGGAAGAAUGAAAGGAAUAUCUUAUCGAGGCAAUCGUAUUUGCUUCGGUAGACACAACUUACAACUUUCAUCGUAUUGUGCUCUCCAAAGUGCAACUCUUCUCAAAAUCUCAAAAGGAAAGGUGCUGAGUUGGAAUCCCAUUCUAACUAAGGAUUCUUGUGGUUCCAGAACCGUUAACUAUAAUGAUAUAAGAAAAUCAUUAUUGUUCCCGGUGGUAUCAAGAUGCCGCUGUGUCGAAAUAUCUUAUCCAUCUAUCCAGGAAAAUGGAUAUCUCCUGGUUACUAACCAAGAAAUCCCUAUUAAACAAAAUAAAAGAGUGAAUUCUUUCUUCCGUGAAAUUGGUUAAUAGGGUCUUGCAUCUUUCUAUAUCUCCCCAAAAUCACCCACCCACUAAAAAUCCUUUUUGUUGGGUCGUAUUAUUAUAAAAGGGUAGUGACAUUGACCCACAAGAAGCACAACAAACUCUUGAAAUAGCGGAAGCUAACUUGAGGAAAACUGAAGGCAAGAGACAAACAAUUGAGGCAAAUUUAGUUCUCAGACGAGCUAGGAGUUCCAUGAUUAUAAGUUCAUUCUAUACCGGACCAGACUGGAAUAGGGUUAUAUACAUUCUAAUUAUGAGAAUGGGUCAUUCGAGCGUAUCUAAAUAGGUACUAUGUUUACAUAUGGAUCCUUACGUCGUUACAUUCCAUUUAGGAUUAGGAAUAGGCGUAAUCUGACCUGCUUUUUACAUAUCUCGCGUUAUUUGGGAUGGGACCCUAUUCACAUCUUUGGACUUUUAUUUUAUCGAGAAAUCGGUAAUAACUUGGGGAAUCCCAUAUGGAUUAUGACCUGAAUCAAAUCGAUUCUUUUUUGAAUCUCUAUACGUGCAAUUCCCUCGACAUUAGAGGAUAUUUUCAUAUUCUUUUGUACAUAAUUUUUGAUACAAUCUCGUAUUUUUUGAUCUUCUUGUAAUUUAUUCAUUCCUAAUUUAUUCCUUUCCUAUAGAACAUCUAGGAACAAGAGGAUUAUUAAAACAAGCUUUCGUUUAUUAGAUUUUUUAACUACGAAAACAAAUGAAAAAACUUAUUUUUUAAACACCUAUCGGAUUGAUAGUAAUGAAAAUGUAAGAAGUAUGGUACAUCUGUUUAUUAGUAUUGCUCGUUUUGGCACUAAAAACACUUUCUCAUAUCCCCAUGAGUCGGACAAUACUAUGUGUUACUUUAUUUGUUGGAUUACGGGUGGCAUUUUACCAGAGGUUUCUAUUGUAUCAAUAAUCUACCCUUGUGUGAUUCUUGUUGAAGCAUAUGCUCGCCGGGGGGGGCGGGGGGGGGGGGGGGGGCGGCCUGGGGGGGGGGGUUGGGUUGCGCAAAACCCAAAGCAAGCCACCCCGGAUAGAAAUAAAUGAAUUCCAAAGAUCUUAGGCAAAUCCAAAUAGGGUUUUCCUGUAUGUUCAUCAGUAAAUAUUUCUAGAUCCCAAUACACCCAAUACCAAACAGCUGCCAAAAAGCACAAGCCAGAAAACACAAUAUAUGCUCCGGCCACACCUUCGUAACUCCAAAUACUUGGAUUUGUUACAGUACCCCCUGUGAUACUCCAACCGCCCCAUGAAUUGGUUUUUCCUAAACAAGUCAUGAAAGGUAUAACGAACAUACCCUGUCUCCACAUUGGAUCAAGAACAGGAUCAGAAGGAUAAGAACGGUGCGUUUUGAGGUGUGAAGUGGGAGAUAAGGGAUUUCAUAAUUGGAUUGGCGUUUUGAAUAAGACGACCUUUUCAUUUUUUUUUUCUUUUUGAAUUUGAAAAAGUAAUAAGAAUGAGAGGUGUUAAGCUUUUUAUCAUCCUGGCGUCGAGCUAUUUUUCCGUAGGACCUCCCUUAUAGUAUCGUAAAUACGAUAGUAGCUAUAGUUAGAUUUAGAUAUGCACAUGUUUAUUAAUCAAAAUCAGCCUUAUUAUACACUUCAAUUAUACACUUCAAUCAUAUUCUACAAAUUCAACUAUAAAAAAAGAGGUAAAAACAUCUCUCUUCUACGAGAUUUUUUUUUUUUUUUUUAAACAAUGAACCAUUGUAAGAAGUAUUUGAAACACGGGAAAGAAAUACCACUCAGGCAAUAUUUUCAGAGGAGUUGCAAACGGAUCCACGGGUUCACCAAUCAUUGAUGGUUCUAGAACCGCUAAGCCAACGUUACAUGCAAUAGUACUUAAAAUUACUACUGAAAAAAUAUAUAAAAUGUUAUAAAAAUAACCUGGAAUAUGUAUGAAUAUUGAGCUGCACGUAAAGUAGAUGAGACACAGCAUUUAACGAGGUUCGGCUAUGCCUACGUCCUCGGAGAGCAGCAACAGUAACUUUUUCACUAUAUAAAAUAAUAGGGCUACAACUUUAGAGUUUACAAUAUGUGAGGCUCACUGAAUUUUCUCUAUCUUUCUCUUCUAUCUUUCCUCCUCUCUUUCCUCUUCUCUUUUUUCUUUUCUUCUUUUCUCCGUUGGUCUCUCUUCCCAUUGCAAGUGAUAUGCCUAUUUAUAGGCUAAGGUUUUGGCAAAUACAGGGAAGGGAAAGUUCCUGGAAGAUGCAAGGAAACUUCCUCCAUGCAUGUGAUACCAAAGCUGUGGACUCCACCUUCAAACUUUUACAACACUCCUCCUUGGAGACCACAAAUGGUAUGGAAUAUGCCUCGUUAAAAACCUUGCCAGUAAAAACCCAGUGGGACAAAAACUGGUCGAAGGGAAAAAGAGUACAUAAUCACGUGUAACAUAAAAUUCUGUGUAUAUUGACGCGCGUGCGACACUGCCUCGUUAAAACCUUGCCAGGAAAAAACCCAGUGGGAUAAAAACCUGGACGAAGGAAAAAGAGUACAGUGUUUGAAGAUCUUUAUUGAUAACACGCUCCCCCUGAUGCUUGGCAAAAUAUCUUUAAGCCAUACUGUUGAUCAUCUGUCUGAAUAUCAUAGUUAACACUGCUGCUGUGAGCCAAUAGUGUAUGAAGGUCUUUAUUAAUACCAUGCUCCCCCUGAUGAAUAUCUCCCCCUGAAAACUUCAUGACUAGCUUUUUCCAGUAAGCGACCAUAGAGAUUUCCUGAGUCCGCAUAUCUUAGAACACUUGGGCUAUUUAUAAGUUCACUAAAAAAAUAUGCCUGUAUAUGGUGUUAUGCUUAGAUAGCAUCAAAUAUACCUCACAUCAUUCCAAAAUGAUGGUGAUGGAGUUGAGCCCUAUCUGGAAAAUAUGAUGUCCGGUCCAAUAUACUUCUGGAAAAUCAUUAAAGUGUCCAACGGAUAAUCCUCAUAAAAAUACUUUAAUACUUUCUUAGUAUAAGCAAGAAUCUCGUUGGCAUAAUGCUCGAUCGAGACAAAUAUUUCAUGAAUUAUGCAGAAGCUUUAAUGUGUUGCAAUCACAUUAUAAUCAAUGUACUCACUGAGGUAAUUUAUGCAUAUUAAUAUUGAGUACAAAUUUUGUGCUUCAAGCACAUGUCCUUUAGGGACUUGCUUUAUGCAAUAUCAAUCCUCUCAACGGAUUUUGUCUAAAAGGGAUUAAGCUUUAUGACACAUUAUAUAGCUUUUACCCAGCUAUUUAUACAUCUUUAGGAAAUCGCUUCUGGCGAUAUGCUCCGUGCAUUUAAUAACCCUUAAAGAUAAUAUGUUGGUCUCCGUAAUUGUGUAAUAAGGGGGGGGGGGGGGGGCACAAUUGAAUCUGUAAAUAUGGAGAAAACCCAACAUUCCUUGUUUCUGCCAGAAACAGUGUGUCAUACAAAGUAGGUAUAUUCCCUUUUAUUCCGAACACCCAAGUAUAACUUUCAGUAGUAACAAAUUUUGGGGUUCGUAUUGUGGGUUUGUUCUUUCACGUUCAUUCUCAUUUAUAAUGAAAUUACCUCGUUCCAUUUUGGCCAUUGAUAUUGUCGACAUUUAAUAAUUGAACGUGGUUCCAAUCAACACAGCCCAUUGAUGAUUUGAGUAGCUACUCGAAAAUCAAAAAUUGUCAUUCAUCAAUUCAUGAUCCCACCAUUCUCAUGUGCAUGCGCAUGCAUCAAUUAUAAGCAUUUCUUUGCUUUUGGGUACCCAAGCCACUUCAGGGGGCUUUUAUUAUGUGAGAAUGUGGAUUAUAACCUCCAUCGGAGCGUUAUUUAGUAGUAGGGCGUGGAUAAUCUCCAUUUAGGGAGUUGGAACAUUGAGAACCCAUAUAUCUGUCAUGCUGCAGGCAUGCCACAGAUUAAUACAUACAUGUCAAUUAAUUUCUGGGACUUUAACCCAUAUUAUGGGACUUUAACCCAUAUAAUUUGCUACGCAUUAGGCGUGCAUAAUAUCAAUAUUGACAUGUCAAAGGAUUGUCCUUUCGGGACUUCAAUCCAUAUCAUUUGCUACGCAACAGGCGUGCACCCAUAUUGAUCACUGCUAUACCCAUAUUCUGUUCUUAUGGGACUUUAAUCUGUGCAGUGUAUUAUCAAUGUAUCCAUCUUACAAUCUGUAAAAUUUGCAUUAAUAAUUCAUGGAUACAUACAAGCCAUUCUUUUGGAACGGACUUAUCUCCCAAUUUGGUUACCUUUCAAAAUAAAAUAUCAAAUAGGUAUAUAAGCAUAAAAUAACACAAGUAUGGCUUACAUCCUUAGGUGGGAGAAACUUUUCUCAAGUAUCAUUCAAGCUCAUAUCAGCCCAGUAAAUAUAAUGUAGCGCUUGAUGAUCUAGUUAUAUACUGCAAGAGCAAAAAUCACAACUCUUUUACCUCUGUCAAAACAAAUAACCCUCAUAGUUAGGAUUACUUCAUGGAUUCAUUCUUCAGAUGUUCAUUCUAAAGAAAUAAAAUCUCUUAUGAACAGAGAGUUAUAAAAAGAGAAAAAAUGCAAAAAUAAUGUGAUAUUGAUUGCAAGAGAAGGUAAGCAAUCAGGGAAGGAAGCUGGUGGGAGCAGACAAUAAGCUCUCAUAUCUCCUAGUCUAGAAGGACUUCCGGAGAUUAGAGCAUAAGAUCGCCUUCACAGUUUCCUGAUGUAGUGGAAACGUGAUCAGGGAUAGUCUUGCUUCCUGAAUGGAUGAUCAGAGAUAGUCUUGCUUCUCAGGCAUAUUAAGUGCUCACUGAUAAGAAAAACAAGUAGAUAUCGCAUCACUAGGUAUGGAGAAAACUGGAUGUCUUUUGCAAAGAAAAUUUCGUUAGUAACACAUUUAUACACAAAUACAAUGAAUAGGUAGAACCGGUGAAUUUCAAAUUAACCAUAGGAAAAUUGCGAGAUUCUCGGGAUACUUUUGAAAAAGUAGUUCCGUGAAAUCCGUAAAGCAAGAUCGGCUUUAAAAUAAUACUUUGAAAAACGCCGAAAGUGCCGACAGGCAUUAUUAGAGGCCACGUGAAGUUUUGGACUCUGGGAAAGAAAAAGAUAAUAUGGGGAUUCGAGAAGAUAUUGGGGUCCUGAAAAACAGUAGCCAUAUUUCCUCCUAUAGAUAUGGUCUUUGCAAAACUUGAUUGGAGUAACUGCGUUUCAACUCAAAUUUCUUCAUUUUCUGAAACUUUAGUUUUCCUAAGACUUUCUUCGAAACCUUCUUAAAAAAAAUGGCUUCCUCUUCUUCCUGCCCAAAUUAUUUCAAUUUAAAUGAUGCUCCCACAACAACCAGUGACGCCCAAGUUUGGCGUCCAUCCUUUGUAUCCAAAAAUCGUCAUCUCACAGUUAAUGAUUCUGUGAUGAUGAAUGAUGCUACUGCUGUCAUAGUAGCUAGGAAUUUCAUUACUCCAAUGGAUGAAAUGUUGUUGACAGGGAGAUCAGAGGAAGAGGCUAUUGAUGACUCAAUGGCUUUUAGCAUUCAGAGUGCUGCUUCUGUUUCUAACAUGGCUGAUCGUUUGCGUGCCAGAGCAAACGAGGUUGAGAAUUUAACAACUGAAAAUUCGUCUCUCCAAAGAAUGCUUCAUGAGUCUCAACAGGAGGUUGAGAAACUUAAAGGAGAGAAUAAUGCCUUGUUGAAACUGGUGAGUUCGUACUCUGUUGAUACACUGAGAAGGCUAGACAUGCUGCAGGUCUCGAAUGAAAGAAUUUUGGGAGACCAUGAGAAGCUCAUGGCUAAGCUUAAGAGGCGCCGUCAUCUUCCUUCAGAGGCUUCCAGAACAUAAUGUAAUUUUUAUAGAUUUUACAGGGCCUGCACCUUCAUUGCAGGAAAAAAUCUAUCUGUUGUAUGCCCCUUUUCUGUUAUAAUAAUUGCGCAUAUUCUUAAACUUGCACCUGUGGUUUUUACGUCUUUUCAAAAUGACGAUUUGGAACCUUGUGCCUUAUAGGUUCAAAUAACCACAUUGUCUCUCCCAAAUUUCAUAUUUUAUCGCAUGGUAGCCCGGAACUUUUGGCCUGGGCACAAACUCAGAAUUUAUUUGCCCUUUUCAAAUGGACAUGAAAUAUGAAUUGAGUAAAAGCCAUGAUAAUAUCGCAAUAUAGUAGUGAAGAGCAUUAACUACUAUAUACCCACAACUUCAAGUUCAGGAUCUCUCAUAUAUUUGGAUCCAUGGGCUUCCGGCCCAGAUAUAACAAAAUAUGUGGGGAGCCUCAAUUCAUUAUUUGAGGUUUAUAUUAAUAUUAUCCAUUUCGCGGUGUAUUCUUAACAACCGGAAUUCACAAAAUAUAUUUCUUCCUUGAGGUGUCGAUUAUAACAAAAUCGAACUUUAUUAAAUUCAUCAUCUUCUUAUGCCAAAGAAAUAUGUGGCAUACCACAAUUUGCAAUAAUACCUCAAGGGUUGUCCAUUUAAUUGUUGGAACUUCAGGUUCUCAACACUGUAAAUUUUGAACUUCAGGCCAAAGCCACAUAUUCUCAUGGUAUGGACAUUUUUACAAUUUUCUGUACAUAUUUCUGGACUUCAAGUCCUUACAUAAUUGUCCAUAUCUUGAGGAACUUCUGGCAUCUCAUUUAAUUGCUCAUCCAUGAGUUUAAGGAACUGCAGGUUCCCUUUUGUAUAUAGUGACGGUUUACCCAAAAUGGUUAAUAUUUAUGCAUACGUCACUAUUCAUGUGAAUAGUACUAUUCAUCAAGUCAUGAAUACGUAUCUAUUCAUCUGCCAGUACAGUUAUCAUCCAUGUGUACGGCACCAUGAAACUGCAGGUUCCCUUAUGUAUAUAGUGACGGUUUACCCAAAAUGGUUAAUAUUUAUGCAUACGUCACUAUUCAUGUGAAUAGUACUAUUCAUCAAGUCAUGAAUACGUAUCUAUUCAUCUGCCAGUACAGUUAUCAUCAAUGUGUACGGCACCAUGAACCAAUACGGUACUGUUACAUCAUUAAGGAACUCUAGGUCCUUAUUUACAUGUCAGGGAUCAAGGACCCUUAAGUCCGAUCAUAUGUUUACAAAUACAGUACCGGAGAGACUGCCAGCUCUCAUAUUAAUAUCAUCAUCAAGGAUCUUCAAGUCCUGAUGUAAUUGUAUGAUGAGGAUCAAGGAACUUCUGGUCCUGAUCUGCAUACUGUAAAAACUCAUCAUACAGCACAUUUAAUCCAUAAAAUAGAUUGCUGGUAAAUAAAUUACUGGUAUGGACGAUAAACCCGCACCACACUUUAAAUAAAUGUAAAUGUGCGGUAAAUUAAAUUCAUAAAGUUAAGGUGCUUGUAUGGGUAUUAAUUCUGCUACAUACAUUUAAAUAAAAGUAAAGGCGUGGAUGAUAAACCCGCACCACCCUUUUAAAUAAAUGUAAAUGUGCGGUAAAUUAAAUUCAUAAAUUAAAUUGCUUGCUGUAUGGACGUUAAUCCCGCACCAUACUUUAAAUAAAAUUAAAUGUGCGGUAAAGUAAAUUGUGCUUGUAUGGGCACUAAUUCUGCUCCAUACAUUUAAAUAAAAGUAAAGGCGUGGACGAUAAACCCGCACCACCCUUUUAAAUAAAUACUGUUGUAUGGGUAAUAAACCUACACCAUACAGUAAAUAAAAUAAAUAUGCGGUAAAAUAAAUUUGCGAUAAAGUAAAGGUGCAUGUAUGGGUAAUAAACCUACACCAUACAGUAAAUAAAUGUGGGGUUAAAACCACCACCGAAUAAAAUAAGAAAAAAGUUAGUAUUAGUAACGGUCUCCCACUGAUAAUAUGUUUAGUAUUACCAAGGGUCCAUUUUUGUUAGUGGUUAGUAGUUAGAUAAUAGUGCAGCACAAAAAUUAUACCUGAGAGCUUCUCGUGCUGAUAACGUGUUAUAAAAAUAACCUGGAAUAUGUAUGAAUAUUGAGCUGCACGUAAGUAGAUGAGACACAGCAUUUACGAGUUCGGCUAUGCUACGUCUCGGAGAGCAGCAGCAGUAACUUUUUCACUAUAUAAAAUAAUAGGGCUACAACUUUAGAGUUUACAAUAUGUGAGGCUCACUGAAUUUUCUCUCUCUUUCUCUUCUAUCUUUCCUCCUCUCUUUCCUCUUCUCUUUUUCCUUUUCUUCUUUUCUCUGUUGGUCUCUCUUCCCAUUGCAAGUGAUAUGCCUAUUUAUAGGCUAAGGUUUUGGCAAAUACAGGGAAGGGAAAGUUCCUGGAAGAUGCAAGGAAACUUCCUCCAUGCAUGUGAUACCAAAGCUGUGGACUCCACCUUCAAACUUUUACAACAUAAAAGAUCUUUUGGCCAUGCGGGCUCUCCGUAAUAAUUAUGACCCAUCCCUUUAGCCAAUUUAGCUCUUAACACAGGAUCAUUCAAGUUAGGUCUUCCCCAACUUCCACUUGCACUGCAAAACUUGCCACACACCUUGAAAAUGGAAAUUUCUCCACACUUUCCUCCAUUUUUGGCUCUCUCUCCUCCCCACAAACACUUUCAUUUUGUCAUCAUUGGACUGCAAACCCACCUCUAAUCUCUGUGCACCCAUAAGCUUCUUGAUCAGGUCCUCUUCAAGCAUUAACCAAUCACUUCCUCUUUGCCCAAAAACGCAAUUUCAAGAAUGCAAUUCAUGGCUGCCACUUUAGUUGACAAGUCUUCAGAGCGCAGGAGGUUGAUAAUUAUUGGGAUUUCUCAAUUGAUGUCAUCAACCAGAGGGGUUCUGAUGAUUUUGACUAGUCUAGUGAGGACUUGAAUUGAACAAGAUGAACGCAUUUGAAUUAAAGCUCUAACAAUCGGACCCAUCAGCACCAAUCCCACAAAAACAUCCUUAUUGAAUUUAACCAGACCAAGAACAGCAAGGGCAGCUUGGUCUCAAACCACUUCGAAAACUUUGAGUCACAAACCAUAAAUUCAAGAAAAGAAAAUACCUUUGCCUCAAAAUUAACUGUUGAUAUUGUUUAACAAACCUUUGGCCCAAUCUGUUCUCUUAACCCUAUAAAUGCCUAAAAAUAUAAAGAAUAAAAAAAGAAAGCCCAAAAUGCUACACUAUAUGUACAAUUUUCAAUUUUUUAAUUUAAUUUUUUUUAAAGUUAUAUAUAUUUAUUAAUAUAUAUUUUUAUAUAUUUUAUAUAUUUAUUUUUAGUUUAAAUUUCUAAUUAAAAUUAAGUAUUAAAAUAAUUAUUUUUUAGUUCGACAUAGCACCAAACAUAGGUCUUCACUAUUUUUACAAUCCAGCUUCUUAAUCCAAUGUAGCACCAAACAUAGGUCAGUAUUUAAUCCAGCCUAGGCCAAUCCGAGCGAAUACAAGACAGUCUCAAGAUUUAGUCCAGUUCAUGACAGUCCGCCGUACCAAAUGACCACUUAAAUGAAAGUUUAAAAAGUUUUACAGCCCAAAAUUUGAACACCCAAAUUGAUGCACCUCUCCAUCUUCUCUCAUAGUUUCUUCAAUACUUAUUUUCCUUCCAACUUUUAGAGUUGUGCAGUGGUGGUGUUUUGGUAGGGGCGGAGUUUUGGUUUGGUAAUUGAAACCAAUACCAAUGAGAAGAAGGUUUUCUAUCGAAGAUUACGGUAUACAUAAUAUUCAUCAUUAGAGCAUCCAUAAUGGGCUUUUCUAAACCAUCUCUUUAGACAAAUUUUAGAGAGAAAUUGGAAAAAUACAACUUCAACUAUGCUUCCUAUCCACCUCCUAAAAUAAUAAGAACUCUAGGAGCUCCUAAAUCUGAAGAGAGAGAAAGGACUCAUAGUGGCUCCCUAUAAUUUAAUGCUGCUUUAUUUAAUGAAUAUUUCAAAUCUUUAAUUACUGCUAACUAUUUUUUAUAUUAUUUUUUAAUAGAGAUUGACCAAUUAAAAAAGAGUUAUAGCAUUUAUGACCCCCCCAAAACUAGAGAGUAUGAUUAGAGCUGAAAUUUGAUAGAGAGCUUUUAAAAUAACUUUUAUAUGUUUUUAGCUAAAUUUUAACCACAAAAAAUAGAGAGCAUGAUUGUAGAUGCUCAAAAGCAUGUUUCCCAGAAUCCGAAGUCUUUGUGGGCUGCUUGAAUAAUAUGUCCGUGGCAAGUAUAUUCAUCGGAAAAAUAUAAAAAAAACUCAGUGGAAAACAAAAGGAAGAUUGAAGUUUCAAUGUGUUUUAACUUCAUUCAGUCCGAUUUAGAAUUAGUUCAGUCUGAUUUCUUUAUUUGCUUGUAUUUCAAACGGAUGGGACUCCUUUUCGAUUCCUUUAACUUAUAUUGUCAAUUCGAACCCAUUUCUACAACAAUAACUAGAAGUUCUCUGAGUCCUAUUACAUUUUUAGCAUUCUGUUUUUUUGGUUCUUACAUCAUACAAGUGGAAUAUUGAAGCCUUAAUAAUCCGGGCAUAGAAAAUAAUCAAAUUAUGUCAGUUCUCUACUUAAAGCACAAUGACUCGAAAAGAAGUUAAGAUUUCUUAAGACGCAAGACUUUCACUUUAUUUAUGUUUGAAUCACACUUUUUUUAUUAGGCUUAACAAUAACCACUAGUGGCACGGCUACAACCAAACCAUAUAAAAUACAUUUUGAGCCCAUUUUCUAGGGGCCAGAUUACUUAAAAUCAAUCCAACCAAGUGCUAGAAUACAAAGCCACGCUUUUGGGGUGAACAGUAGGAAAUAGACAUCAGCUCAUACCUAAAUUUCUCUUGAUCAGAAUCUAUCGUUUUAACCAGAGUUUCACCAUUCAACUUUCCAGAUGAGAGAUUUGAAGGGAGAAUCUUAUAUGGUUCAAGGUAAGAAAUGGCGAUAAGCGAUUCACGAGUCACUUCUUCAGCUGCCCCGUUUCCAAGUCUUGCUUUAUCCAUAAAAUGUAUGAUCUUCUUGCUCUGCAUGCAUUCCAAACAUCAAAAUGUUAACUGGAAAAAGAAUACAGAUGCUUCAAUAAAAUAAAGGAUGUGCAUGAAAGUUCUAAAU